GACGAACGCUGGCGGCGUGCCUAAUACAUGCAAGUCGAGCGAACAGACGAGGAGCUUGCUCCUCUGACGUUAGCGGCGGACGGGUGAGUAACACGUGGAUAACCUACCUAUAAGACUGGGAUAACUUCGGGAAACCGGAGCUAACAGCGGAUAAUAUAUUGAACCGCAUGGUUCAAUAGUGAAAGACGGCUUUGCUGUCACUUAUAGAUGGAUCCGCGCCGCAUUAGCUAGUUGGUAAGGUAACGGCUUACCAAGGCAACGAUGCGUAGCCGACCUGAGAGGGUGAUCGGCCACACUGGAACUGAGACGCGGUCCAGACUCCUGCGGGAGGCAGCAGUAGGGAAUCUUCCGCAAUGGGCGAAAACCUGACGGAGCGACGCCGCGUGAGUGAUGAAGGUCUUCGGAUCGUAAAGCUCUGUUGUUAGGGAAGAACAAAUGUGUAAGUAACUGUGCACGUCUUGACGGUACCUAAUCAGAAAGCCACGGCUAACUACGUG
rnacentral:rRNA from 1 species